ACUACUGUUACUGCUAUUAUUUCUACUACUACUACUACUGCUACCACCACUACUAUUGCUGCUGCUAAUACCGCUACUGUUACUACUGCUACUACUACUACCACCACUAUUAUUACAACUACUGCUAAUACUAUUAUUCAUACUGUUGUUACUUCUGUUACUACUUUUAUUACUGGUACUUUUACAACUAUUGCUACUACUUUUACUAUUUCUACUACUGCUACUACAAUUGUUACUAUUAUUAUUGCUAAUACUGCUACAAUAGGUACUAUUGCUACAGCCACCACU
rnacentral:lncRNA from 1 species